GACGAACGCUGGCGGCGUGCUUAACACAUGCAAGUCGAACGAAGUGGCGAACGGGUGAGUAACGCGUAAUCAACCUGCCCUUCAGAGGGGGACAACAGUUGGCAACGACUGCUAAUACCGCAUACUGAAGGAGGGGAUUGCGUCUGAUUAGCUAGUUGGGGGGGUAACGGCCCACCAAGGCGAUGAUCAGUAGCCGGUCUGGGGGGAGGAACGGCCCAAUUGGGACUGGGACACGGCCCAGACUCCUACGGGGGGCAGCAGUGGGGAAUCUUCCGCAAUGGAGGGAAGUCUGACGGAGGAAAGCCGCGUGAGUGAUGACGGCCUUCGGGUUGUAAAGCUCUGUUAAUCGGGACGCGGUACCGGAAUAGAAAGCCACGGCUAACUACGUGCCAGCAGCCGCGGUAAUUC
rnacentral:rRNA from 1 species